GUAGGUGGCAAGCGUUGUCCGGAAUUAUUGGGCGUAAAGCGCGCGCAGGGCGGUCCUUUAAGUCUGAUGUGAAAGCCCACGGCUCAACCGUGGAGGGUCAUUGGAAACUGGGGGACGUUGAGUACAGAAGAGGAAAGCGGAAUUCCAAGUGUAGCGGUGAAAUGCGUAGAGAUUUGGAGGAACACCAGUGGCGAAGGCGGCUUUCUGGUCUGUAACUGACGCUGAGGCGCGAAAGCGUGGGGAGCAAACAGGAUUAGAUACCCUGGUAGUCCACGCCGUAAACGAUGAGUGCUAAGUGUUAGGGGGUUUCCGCCCCUUAGUGCUGCAGCUAACGCAUUAAGCACUCCGCCUGGGGAGUACGGCCGCAAGGCUG
rnacentral:rRNA from 1 species